rnacentral:ncRNA from 1 species
CAACGGGGUGUUUUAACUGAGAAGCUAUCAAGCUAACCCGAUGAACCUGAUACGGAUAAUACCGGCGUAGGGAUUGAGUUUUCA